rnacentral:rRNA from 1 species
CUUGCUUUCUUUGCUGGCGACCGGCGCACGGGUGAGUAACACGUAUCCAACCUACCCUUUACUCGGGGAUAGCCUUUCGAAAGAAAGAUUAAUACCCGAUAGCAUAAUGAUUCCGCAUGGUUUCAUUAUUAAAGGAUUCCGGUAAAGGAUGGGGAUGCGUUCCAUUAGGUUGUUGGUGGGGUAACGGCCCACCAAGCCUUCGAUGGAUAGGGGUUCUGAGAGGAAGGUCCCCCACAUUGGAACUGAGACACGGUCCAAACUACUACGGGAGGCAGCAUG